GAUGAACGCUGGCUGCGGGCCUAAUACAUGCAAGUCGAGCGAACAGACGAGGAGCUUGCUCCUCUGACGUUAGCGGCGGACGGGUGGGUAACACGUGGAUAACCUACCUAUAAUACUCGAAUAACUUCGGGAGACCGGGGCUAAUACCGGAUAAUAGAUUUAACUUCAUGGUUCAAUAGUUAAAGGCGGUUUUUCUGUCACUUAUAGAUGGAUUUGCGCCGCAUUAGCUAGAUGGCGAGUUAACGGCUUACCAGGGCAACGAUGCGUAGGGGACCGGGGAGGAAGGUCCCCCACGCUGGAACCGAGACACGGGCCAGACUCCUACGGGAGGCAGCAGUGAGGAAUAGUGGUCAAUGGGCGUAAGCCUGAACCAGCCAAGUAGCGUGCAGGAUGACGGCCCUAUGGGUUGUAAACUGCUUUUAUGCGGGGAUAAAGUGGCCCACGUGUGGGCUUUUGCAGGUACCGCAUGAAUAAGGACCGGCUAAUUCCGUG
rnacentral:rRNA from 1 species